rnacentral:tRNA from 1 species
GGGUUUGUAGCUCAGUGGAUUAGAGCACGUGUUUCCGAAACCCGUUGUCGAGGGUUCAAUUCCCUCCUUACCCA